AGUUGCGCCCGAAGCCAUCUGGUCGAGGGCACGUCUGCCUGGGUGUCACGCA
rnacentral:rRNA from 3 species